rnacentral:rRNA from 1 species
UACGGGGGGAGCAAGCGUUGUUCGGAUUUACUGGGCGUAAAGGGCGGGUAGGCGGCCACCGCAAGUCAGUUGUGAAAUCUCUGGGCUUAACCCAGAAAGGUCAACUGAUACUGCGGGGCUAGAGUGCAGAAGGGGCAACUGGAAUUCUCGGUGUAGCGGUGAAAUGCGUAGAUAUGACAUAGAACACCAAUUGCGAAGGCAGCUGGCUACACGAAUAUUGACACUGAUGCACGAAAGCGUGGGGAUCAAACAGG